rnacentral:lncRNA from 1 species
CUGUGUGGAAUAUUCUUCAUGGCCUUAUUUUUUGAAUAGGUAAAAAAGAAAAAGAAAAAAGAAGAGGUAAAAUUGCAAAGGGCCUCUCUGCGAAGGGAAAAAAAAAAGUCCAAAGGCAACUAAGCUCCCUCAGUCCCAUUGUCUUGCAAAUCUCUCCGUACAUCUGAGCACUCGUCAGAAAAAGGGAACAGAAAAAGUGUGAUGGGGAUUAUAAGGAGCAGUUUCUCAUUCAUAUCAGGAACUAUUUGCGGAAUAUACAUAGCUCAGAACUACAACGUCCCCAACAUUCGAAAGCUUAUUCAGAACGCUUUAUUCAAGGCCAAAGAUGUCGAAGAGAAAUAUCGCAAGCCUGGCGAUCGCCUUUAGAUUUCACUCUCCUUAUUUCAGGUUAACCAUUCCCAAAUCCCCAAUUCCUUUUUUUUUUGGUUUCCUUCGCUGCGAAUGUAAAUUCGAAUAAUUAUUGCUAAUGUCCAUAACAGUUCAACCGAGACAAUCAUGAAUUAUGUGACCUUUAUAGCAUGCUAGAUUGAAAUCUUCGAGUAAAUUUGACCUGUUAAUGAUGAUUUUUUGCUCGCCUUUUUCUCCCAAACCUGGUGAUCGCCUUUAGAUUUCAUCGGCUAAUUGUUUUUUUUUCAGGUUAACCAUUCCUAAAUCCUCAAUUUCAUUUUUUUUUCCUUCGCUGCGAAUGUAAAUUCGAAUAAUUAUUGCUAAUGUCUAUAACAGUUCAACCGAGACAAUCAUGAAUUGUGCGACCUUUAUAGCAUGCUAGAUUGAAAUCUUCGAGUAAAUUUGACCUUUUAAAUGUUAAUGAUGAUUUUUACUUGAUUUUCUCUAUAUCAAACUGUGCGCCAGAGGAAUAAUUUCGCCCUUUGGUCCGACCGACCAGUAGAAUGCGUACCCAAUGUUCAACUGGUAUCACUUUAAUUUGUGUAAUUAUGUUUAUGUGGCGAUCGAUGUUCCAAUUAAAUCUCAAGCUUUAUCAAGGUUUUAGACUGAUUGCCCUUUCCUUUUAUAGGCAGAGAUCUGAAUGCUCGACCAGUGUUCCCUAAAAAUCCUUUGAGAUGGAGACUGAGAGAGACAAUAAUACAGUUUUAUAACAAAACUUUCGUGUUAAAUAUAUUCCUUGAAGAAUUUGUGUUGCUAUGCAUCCAUUCUGGUUUAUGGUUUAUCAGCUAGAGCCUAGAAGCUUUGUUUGUACUGGUGAAUAGUUGCAUAAUUUGUCCGGUACAUACAAUUGGCUGCUUGCAUAUUGUUAUCCUUUAGUCGGCAAAGAUUUAUCUACCUUUAGACCUUUCACUUUGAAAUUUGCACCAUACCAAGGAGCUGCAGAAUGUUUGUUUGGCUGCGGAUUCUAGGACACUUUCUAAUUGGGACUUAGCCAUCUAGCUUUUUGGUUGGCACUGGUCAGGCAGCUAUUACCUAUUUGGCAAUGUUCCUCAGUGUUCUGAAGAGAUUGCAUUUUCUGGGAGGUAAGAACAG